CUGGAAUAUUUUCAGGAGUCAAGGGAGGUUCCAAGCAUGAAAGAUGGAAACUGCAAGGACAUCCCUCGCAACAAAUAAAAAGACCUCUUCCUCCGCAUGCACUACAAUAGUCGACGUUGCGUAUAGUCGCUUUUCGUCUCCGUCGCUUUACAGGAGUUUGUUGAGAUUCGGUUUCGAGAUGACUUUUUAGGGAACUACCCCGGCUUUUUUGAAUAGGUGCUUUAUUUGGAGAUUUAUUCGAAUAACUAGCUUUUUGUUUUUUCACUGGAGAACUUAUAUCCAUCUCUUUGUCUUGGCUAAUUGGCAAGACAUUUACAUGGUCAGUUGAAGAGUGAGUUGAUGAUGUUAAAGAAUUAUUUUUAAAAUUAGAAGGGGGACCUUCAUUUACGAAAGAGUCGCCAUGACUAUUAUUAGAAAUUGAAGGUACUGUAGGUUGAGAUGAAUUGUUUAUAGAGGAUGCCAUUAGAUACUUCCCAUGCUAUGAGCAAAGCAACAUGUAAUACGCGACGGUUAGCACUUAGAAAUAUC